rnacentral:rRNA from 1 species
GACGAACGCUGGCGGCGUGCUUAACACAUGCAAGUCGAACGGAAAGGCCCUGCUCUUGUGGGGUGCUCGAGUGGCGAACGGGUGAGUAACACGUGAGUAACCUGCCCUUGACUUUGGGAUAACUUCAGGAAACUGGGGCUAAUACCGGAUAGGAGCUCCUGCUGCAUGGUGGGGGUUGGAAAGUUUCGGCGGUUGGGGAUGGACUCGCGGCUUAUCAGCUUGUUGGUGGGGUAGUGGCUUACCAAGGCUUUGACGGGUAGCCGGCCUGAGAGGGUGACCGGCCACAUUGGGACUGAGGUACGGCCCAGACUCCUACGGGAGGCAACAGUGGGGAAUAUUGCACAAUGGGCGGAAGCCGGAUGCAGCAACGCCGCGUGCGGGAUGACGGCCUUCGGGUUGUAAACCGCUUUCGCCUGUGACGAAGCGUGAGUGACGGUAAUGGGUAAAGAAGCACCGGCUAACUACGU